rnacentral:rRNA from 1 species
UCCGAAGGGGGCUAUCGUUGUUCGGAAUUACUGGGCGUAAAGCGCACGCAGGCGGAUUUAUAAGUCAGGGGUGAAAUCCCGGGGCUCAACCUCGGAAUUGCCUUUGAUACUGUCUAUCUUGAGUCCGGGAGAGGUGAGUGGAAUUCCUAGUGUAGAGGUGAAAUUCGUAGAUAUUAGGAAGAACACCAGUGGCGAAGGCGGCUCACUGGCCCGGUACUGACGCUCAUGUGCGAAAGCGUGGGGAGAAAACAGG